rnacentral:misc_RNA from 1 species
CUUGAUCCCCAUACCAGAGCACUGUAUCAUAAUGCCAAAGUAAAGUAUUCAUUAUGAAUAAUAAUAUUGAUGUGGGAAACCAAAAAAGAAUAUGAGAUCAUGUUCAGCCAGUACAUAAGCAGCAUCCCUUGCUGUCAUGUAUACAACUGGAAAGCGGAAGGCUACAGUAAUAACAACAACAACAACUAAGCUGUAAUCCCAAACUAGUUGGAACUUGAAAGCUACAAACUAUUCAAAAUCCUACUCAAACAGAAAUUCAACCCAAUCAGGACAGGCUAUUGACAUUUAUAAUAAACUAAAAGACACUGCAUGCAUCCUAAAUUUGAAAAAUUGCAAAUAACAUUUCUGAAUGGUGAAUGGUGAUUCUUUUGCAUUUCUUAUGAACAUACACUCGGAAAAAUAACAGCAAUUUAAGAGAUACUUACUAUUUAAAUUGUUUAACCAUAUCC